UUCCCUGCAAGAUCUUGUGGUAAUGAAAAUUAUGCCUUGCUCCAUUUUUAGAUACUGUGUGUAAUGCGUGCGUGAAUUUGUGUAAGCUCUUCGAAUAUCAAUAAGGUUUUGUGAGUAAUACUGAUUUAAAGGGCAUAGUGGCCAUUUUUCGACCACAUAACAACAUUUGCGAGAUCGUCAAACAGAGCUGCUGCAAAAGACUCACAUUCCGUAGUGUUUUACAUAACAUAAUAUUUCCUUCUUUUCGCGUCUGUUAAGUGUCUAUGUUCUUAACCUAUGAACGGCAUAUUAUAAAAAGAGAAAAAGCAUUUUCAUUGCGUUUGUGUUUGAAAGGGAGUGUUUUUUAGUCCUGAUUUCACUGCGCAAGUUAAACAGCCUUGAAAGUUAUCAAGUGUAAGUGUGCUGCUGCAGUUGUGCAUAUGUGCUUGUAUCAAGAGAUCGUGAUUUAGUGCCACUUGGAACGUGCUAAAAGUCACCUGAUAACGUGCAAAGCGGAAGUUUUUCAAUCAGUCGCAGAAAGAAAAAUAAAAAUUUACCAAAAUGAAGAAAACCGACACACAGAUGAACGUAGCUGGCAUACGUCGUAACAUAAAGAACAUCGCCCACAACUACUCCGAUGCCCAGGUGAAGGUGCGGGAGGCCACCUCCAACGAUCCAUGGGGACCGUCGUCAACGAUCAUGGCGGAGAUCGCCGACCUCACGUACAACGUGGUGGCAUUCUCCGAAAUCAUGCAAAUGAUCUGGAAGCGCAUGAACGACCACGGUAAAAACUGGCGGCAUGUCUAUAAGGCAUUGCUACUGCUAGAAUACCUCAUCAAGACCGGCACGGAGAAGGUGGCGCAGCAGUGUAAGGAAAAUAUCUACGCCAUCCAGACACUGAAGGAGUUCCAGUACAUGGAGGAGGGCAAGGAUCAGGGCAUGCACGUGCGCGAGAAGGCGAAACAGCUUGUGUCGCUGCUGAAGGACGACGAGCGGCUGAAGAAUGAGCGUGCCCGUGCGCUGAAGGCGAAGGAACGCUUUGCUCGCACGGCCAGCGGUUUCGGUAGCGACGGUUCCAUCGACGGCCCGACGCAGCGCGAUCCGAGGCCACCGAACUGGGGUGAAGGAGAACCGAUCGCGGGUGCAGCAACAAGCGGCGUCGCCGGGAAACCAGUGUCGGAGAUCGAGUUUGUGCGACCACAGACGGUCGGUGAAGAGGAAUUGCAGCUGCAGCUGGCGAUGGCCAUGUCGCGGGAGGAGGCCGAACAAGAGGAACAGAAACGGCGCAGCGACGACGUACGGCUACAGCUGGCGCUUAGUCAGAGUGAACAAGACUUCAAAAAGGAUGGCGAUCCAAAGGCAGGACCGCAGGAGGGCAGCAGUGCUUUGGUCGAUCUGUUGGACAUUUCAUUCGGAGCCGCUUCGAUAAGUAGUCCGGCUCAGCAUCAACCAUUGGCUGGUCCAUCUGGUAGCGCUCCGAUCGAUCCGUGGGGUAUGCCCGUCGCCGGAGGAUCACGACCAACGACUUCGGAUCCAUGGUCUAGGACAUCAUCGCCACCGGUAGUGGACCCGUGGCUCAACACCGCCUCCGCAUUGCCACCACCGGGCCCGUCCACCUCCAAACCACCCCUCCUGGGCGCCGGCGUUGGGCUGGAGGCGUGGCAACCCCGCACACAGUCUCCCUCGGUUGCAUCCGGAUCAUCGGUCGAGGGAUGGCUACAUAAUGGAGGGGGUGCCGCUUCCGGGAUGUCCAACGGUACCGGAGCGACGAACGGAAAUGUGGAUCCUUGGUUAAGUAAAACAACUCUGGCCGGUGUUGGAGCUACUGCACCAGCCACGAUUCCUGCUGCAGAUCCGUGGCAAGCGAAUAAACGGACCACACCAGUGCCUGUCGUUGCUGCUACCGCCGACCCAUGGCAGCCCAGUUCGUCCGCAACCAAGCUGGACCCGUGGGCUCCGGUGAGCAACAACUCGGCAAGCGGAAGUAUCGGUGACCUGGGGGCGGCAUUUGGUGGAGCUAUUCCACCCAACCGACCAUCACCAGUUGGAGCAAUCACAUCUCCCGUAUCCGAUCUGGAUGAGUUCGAUAUCAUUACGAAGCGAGCGGCCAGCACCACCAGCAGUAGCAACAAUAAUAACAACCACGCCGCAAGCAAUAACCUGAACAACAACAGCUCAUUGCUACUGGGUGAUCUCGAUCCACUUUCGUCAUCCGGAACAACGUCGAGCUCGCCAAGCAUGGGUGCGACGACGGCGGUCAAGAAGACGCCGCAAUCUUUCCUCGGCGAAAACUCGUCCCUCGUCAAUCUGGACAAUCUAAUCAAACCGAUGCCGAGCGGUACUGGUACCAGUGGUGCGACGGCAUCCUUGACUGCUUCGGCGGCGGCCUACAAUCCAUUCGGUGACACCGGCAGUGCCGGGGCACCGGUGCAGAAAAAUCUAUUCCAUCAAAAUCAACCUCAGGUUCCGUCCAUCAAUCAAUUGAAGCAGUCACCGUUUCCGGUAACGCUUAAUCAGGAUCCUUGGGCACCGGUUGCAAAUAUGACCGCAGCACAACACACAUCGCCCGGAAACAAUGGAGCAUGGACGCUAAAUUAAACACAAGAACACGUCCAACGACUAUGCCCCUCCUCUAUUGAUAGUGAUUUGAUAAAUGGUUUAAAAAACAUACGAGAUGAAGGCAAUUUACUGUUGUCCCUCCUCCCCCGAAGUGUGGUCCUUAGUCCCGUAGUUCCAGUAGGUAGUGAAAUGAUCUUCAUCUCGUGGUUUCUGUUUGUGAUGGUUCGUACACUUUUCGAUCAUCAAGAAGGAUGUGGCAAGGACAUUUUCCCCCCCGGUUCGGGGUGGAAAGAAUCGCCAUCUUUGUAAUCGCUACGCUAAGCCAUCGACAACCAUGCCGCUGCCUCCUGCGCCUGUGUUUGUAUGUGUGUGUGGUACGUGUGCUGGUCCAUCAAUAUGCUAUCACGCUAUGCUUCAGAAGGUUGCCAGAAUCCAACGUAGCGACUGGACGGUGGACGACGGCCUCCCAACGCACGCACCAAACGCUCGGUGCGAAUUGAUUACAAUGUACUUGCUUCCGAGCAACCUAAACAAUAACAAUAGUGCACCCUGGAUGAAUCCUCAAUCGUCGAAUCCAUUCCUGUCGUAAGCAGCCAGUGGUCAACGACGGCACCGCACGCUAGCAGAAGCAACCAACAAGAAGCAAACUUUUAUAAUACCGGGACCUUUCCUAACGCAAUCUUCUUCCGGCUGAAGUCAGGAAUCGGGGUUUACUCUUAAAACAAACGGGAUCGAUUAGUUGAGGACGUAGGACCGACUGUUGAUGUAACUAACCAAACUUGUGCGAAAGCGAAAGGCAAUACAUUGAACAAACUAACCAAACCACACUCAAAUCAGAAACAGGAACAGAAUACAUCGAGCUAGAUUUUUUUAUUCUCUGGGUAUUUCGGGGAUCCGCCAGACAGCAUCACACAUGGAUUUGGUGACUCGUGUUCGGUCUGAGGGGCCUAAGGGAGCAUGAGAGAGGAGACAUUUAUGGUUUCGAUUAAUUUAAACGUAUACCAGCGCGUGUUUAAAGCGGUCGGCUGGCUGAUAAAACUAAAAGUUAUCGACCGCCAUUUAUUUAUCUUCUGUUAAACUAAACAUGGAUCCGGUUGGACAAUAUCAACCAAAUUCGAUCGCGCAUCGUUUAGACAACCAUAAUUUAAGGGCAAAGGUAACAACCGUGGUGCGGGGAUGGUGAACGAGUUUCGAACAUUGGAAAAGUCUUACGGAGCACGGAAACAGGCAUCCACUUGGUCAUGUUGUUGACGGUGGAAUGAAUUUAAGCGAAAGAAAAAUUAAAAUGCCUUAUUAUAGUGGGAAAUGAUAGAAGAAAAAAAAACUAAAAAACUAAGCUAAAACAGAUACUACUAGUAACGAUAAAGAAACAAGAUACUACUACACUCUAGGGAUGGGCUUCAUCAUAACGCAGCAGAUGCUAGUACAUCGCAUCCUAAAUAAACGCG